rnacentral:tRNA from 1 species
UUCCCUGUGGCUCAGUUGGUAGAGCAUGGUGUGUGCAACGCCAGGGUUGUGGGUUUGAUUCCCACGGGGGAUU